UACGGAGGGGGCUAGCGUUGUUCGGAAUUACUGGGCGUAAAGGGCGCGUAGGCGGCCUUCUAAGUCAGACGUGAAAUCCCCCGGCUUAACCUGGGAACUGCGUCUGAUACUGGGAGGCUUGAGUAUGGGAGAGGGAUGUAGAAUUCCAGGUGUAGCGGUGAAAUGCGUAGAUAUCUGGAGGAAUACCGGUGGCGAAGGCGGCAUCCUGGACCAUAACUGACGCUGAGGCGCGAAAGCUAGGGGAGCAAACGGG
rnacentral:rRNA from 1 species